rnacentral:rRNA from 1 species
UACGUAGGUGGCAAGCGUUAUCCGGAUUUAUUGGGCGUAAAGGGAACGCAGGCGGUCUUUUAGGUCUGAUGUGAAAGCCUUCGGCUUAACCGGAGUAGUGCAUUGGAAACUGGGAGACUUGAGUACAGAAGAGGAGAGUGGAACUCCAUGUGUAGCGGUGAAAUGCGUAGAUAUAUGGAAGAACACCAGUGGCGAAAGCGGCUCUCUGGUCUGUAACUGACGCUGAGGUUCGAAAGCGUGGGUAGCAAACAGG